AUGGAGCUUGAAACGCCCAGAGGUCGAGUAGACCAUGCAUUGCACCCUUUAUUCCUAUUUAAUGGAUCAUGAAACACACCCUCUAUUCCAUAGGAAUAUAGAAUGCAACACAUGCUAAUCGCAUGGUGCUACUGGAAGUUGUCCUCCGAAUUUUGGUUAAGUGUUGGUCCUUCCUCCUUCCAUCCCUUGUCUUGUGGUGUCUUUCCAAUGAUUUUCCCGCCUUUAUAUCAUCUAUAUAUCAUCAUAUUAAUCUAACCAAUGAUCCUAAUAGAAAACACCAUACGAAUUAGAGGUACAAAAACACAAUAUCCAUCACGAUGAAUUGAAAAUAAGAGCUUAGCCUAGGUUGAUUUCCAUGAUCUUUCACUCGAAGUUUCAACUCUUUCCUUGACUCACUUGAACUUUGUAAACUACUAAAAACUUUUUCCAUAUACAAUAGCAUAAUUUAAACCAUAAUUAACAUAUAAAACACAAUACAAUUCAAUAACAUAGACUAGACAAGCACCUAGCUCAAGCUAGUAACACUAGUUUUCUCUAUUUGAACUUUAAUUGACUUUUUGAAGCACAAACUUGUUGGAAAACACUUGUAACCAUUACAAACACAUUAUUUAACACUUUGAUACAUAUUUAUAUCAUUAUCAACCCAUAUAGCAUAGAAUCAUCCUCAAAACAAGGCUAAAAGGACUAGAAUAGUGACACUAGAAUACAUAAAUACACCCAACAUCACCACCCCACACUUAAAGCCUUGUUCUUCCUCGAAAAAUUCUUAUCUUUAAUCAUCAUCAUCUAAGGAGACUCUGCACUUAUACUAAAUGUAAGACACUCAAUCUAGUACUAUAAUGACUAUAUAGACUGCAACUUACUACACUAAGAAUGUUAUUUACACAAUUGAAAGAUCAUGAACACUACUCCAAAACAUCCUAGACUCAAGAAUUAACUCACCUAGUUGGAAAACUCAUGCUUAUCAUUCAAUCAAGGAUGUAAUACAAGUCACCUACAUUCAUCAAACAUGUGCCCCUCACAACAAGAGUUAAUCGUAAUCACUCAUAAUUAAGCAAUUCAUACUAUAAUGGGUACAAGAAUCAAAUUACGCUCACUCUCACAAAAAAUUCACAAGUUAAACGCAAUGAACCAUAGGAGUUCCCUUAGUGUAAUGCUUCACUAAUAUCUGAAGGUAAAGGUUAGGAUCAAUUAGGACUUUUCCUAAUUGUAAUGUAGGCUAGGGGAUGGGUAGGAACUAUUUGGGGAAUAGUGACUAACCUCUCUAAGAGCUUUAAUACACUAUAUUAUACAUUUAAAACUAAUCACCGCAACCAAUUACACCAUUUUGUCUUCCCACACACCAGGCAAGUUCUACACAUCACAUGCAACAAGGAAUAUACAAAAAUUCUCACAUGCACAUGACACAUGCUUAACUCAUAUAGGAUCAUCAUAGACUCCCAACCAAACAAUAACAUAAAUUCAAAAUUAUGCCAAUAAGUACAAGAGUCAUAAAAAUGAGCCUAGGAGUCUCAAAAAUAGUAAUUCAUUCAACCAAUAUGCUUUUACAAACAAACCUACUUGUACCCUAUAAUCAAAAAUAGCAUCAAUAAGAAUAUCUUACACAAAAAACUUUAAAUUGAGUAAAAAUUUAGGAAUUUCCCCACACCUAAAAAUCUACUUUGUCCCCAAAGUGAAUUUAAAGGUAAGAGAUAGAAAUACUUCUUGAGGCCUCUACACCUAGCUAGUAGCAUUUUUUGCAUAAAAGAGAUCCAUGCAACCCCACACUCAAUCUUUGCCAUAAUCCUUAACUCAAGUUUAUGGUACUUAGACUUUCCAUUAACCUAUGACUCAACCAAAAGCAAAAACUACAUGAAAUAAAAACUAAAAAUUAAAAAAAAAAAACAUACCUAAUUAACUUGGGUUGCCUCCCAAGCAGCGCCUAAUUUAGUGUCGCAGCAGAACCCAACUUAACUCAACCAUAUUCCUUCACCCUUUUACUCCCCCUUGGAAGCCAUUUUUUAUUUAUUUCUGACCUCUUAAGAUUACACUCUCAAGGUCAACAUCUCCUUUCACUUCAACCUUCAUCAUGCUGGGAAAUGGUGGAUUCAACUUGGGCCUCUCACUCUGGUAAUCCAAAAAGGGUUUUAGUGGAUUAACUACCCCACACUUUUCUCUUUCAAUAACAUUGAUCAUACAUAAAUCUUUAUAUUGGUAAUUUACGAUGGGUUCUUUAUAAAUAUCGAAUACUACCUCUUCACCAUCUACCCUCAUUUUGAGUGUGCCUUCUCUAACAUAAAUCAAGGCCUCUACAGUUGCUAAGAAUGAACGCCCCAAGAUUAUUGGUACAUGUUCAUCUACCUCAAAAUCAAGAACAAUAAAGUCAGAAGGUAUAAUGAAUUUAACAACCUUUAUGAGGACAUCCUCAAUUAUUUCAUUCAGAUGUAUAAAUGACCAAUCUGCCAGCUGCAAUACCAUGGUGGUGGGUUUUGUCUUUCCCAAGCCCAAUAUUUUAAACAGUGAUAGGGGCAUCAAAUUUAUGCUUACCCCUAAUUCACUCAAUGCAUGGACCACACUUCUCCCAAUUUGAAUUGGGAUAUCAAACCUCCUUGAUCUCUCAAUUUCUUGGGGAUUUUUUGUGCCUCACAUCAUUACACUCUUUAGUAAGUGUUAUAGCUUCCACAUCCUAUAGUUUUACCUUAUUAGCCACUGCAUCCCUUAAGUAUUUUUCAUACUUGGGCAUACUCAGCAAAACAUCUAAAAGAAGUAAAUUAAUAUGAAGCUCUCUGAAUGUGUCAAAGAAAUUUUUGAACAUUGCACCUCCUUUACUUUUAUCUUUCUCUGAGGGAAGGGUAGCGUCGGCAUCUUCUUCACUUCUUCUACAACAACUUUUUCUUUCAAAUACUCAGGCUUUCUUGAAUUUUUAGCAACUCUGUCAUUUACCUAUUAGGUCACUAUAUCAAUAUCUACCUCCUUUGUUGCCUUGGGAGGUUCUCCUUAUAGCUCUUUACCACUUCUCAAGGUGAUUUCCAUAACCUGCUUUGAAUUUUCUGUAUUUACUGGCAAACUACCUGGUGGUUUAGUAUUCAUUGCCUGUGAUAAUUGGCCCACUUGCAACUCUAAAAUUCUUGUGGUCGCUUUCUGAUUUUUUAAUUUUGUCUGUUGACUUUUCAUAUCUACAACCAUUUAUGCUUGACUAGUUAAGAGUUAUUUCAACAUCUUUUCUAUGUUGCUCAUUGACUAAUUUGAUUAGGCCUGUGGAUGUGGGUUUUUCCAUGGCUGAUUUGGUGGCUGAGUUUUCCACUUCAUGUUGUGGGCAUUACCAUAAUUUGUCCUUUGAGAAUUGCCUACAUACAUCAAAAAUUCUAAAUUUCAAGCACACAUGGACGUUGAAUGGCCAUUAUUUCCACAGAUCUCACACCAAUCUACAGCUUGUUAGAUGGCAUUACUUGUGGCUGCAGGUUGUGCUGCUCCCAACUUCAUGCUGCUGAACUGAGUGUUGAUCAAAUUUUGUAAGGUAGAAACCUAUAAUGAUAAGGAUAUAAAUUGGUCCACCUCUAAUACACCCGUAAUUCUUUUCGUGUAACUUUUAGAAUCUGAAUGCCACUCUGGAUUUCCUUAUACUAUGCGGUUUAAUAAAAUGUACAACUCAUUGUAAGUCAAUUCCAUCACUUGACCACCUACAGAUGAAUCUAGAAAAAUCUUUGUAUUAUGAUCAAGAGCUUCUACCAAAGUAUGAGCGAGUACCUCAUUGGACUUUUGGUGGUGUGGACAAUGCCGAAGAAGAACCUUGAAGCAUUCCCAAGCAUAAUAGAGGUUUUUAUCAGGCUUCUGUUUGAAGCUCACUAUCUCACUGCGAAGUCUCGCAGUCUUGCCUGAUAGAAAGAAUUUGAUAAGGAACUUUCUGUCUAAG
rnacentral:lncRNA from 1 species